rnacentral:lncRNA from 1 species
AAGUUCCUAAUUCAAUCUUAAUCGGUGUUAAUUCCUUGAUUUUAUGUUUCGUUUUUACUUGUUUAGUUUUCUUUUUGUGUUUAGGUAAGGUGGAGUGGCAAAUGGAUUAAAUGGGUGGAAGUUUGGCAACAUUUGGCAUGAAAAGGAGCAAAAAAAUGAACCAGCUGACAGAAGCCAUGCCCGCCAGGGCGGGCCUUUUGGUGCAUGACACCCUCGCCGGGGCGGCGGUCUUGAUUUUCAGUUAACAGAAGCUAAGCCAGCUAGGGCUUGCUAUUUACAUAGCAACACCCCCGUCGGGGUGGGGGUACGAAAGAAAGGAGUCCUAAUUCUUUUCAAAUGGUGCAGAAACGUGAGCUUUAGUGUUGGCAAUGACUUAAAACUCUAUCGUGCAUGGAAUUGUAAUCAGAAUUCAUGGCUUGGCAUAAAUAACAUACAAAAAACACAAGAUUGAUCAUCAUACAAGCAAAUACACUAUUAAAGACAAAUUUUCUGAGCAAAGCAUUGGAGGGCGACGUUGAGGGCAAAUUUCAUGACAAGUGCAGAUUGAAGCUAGAGAGAAGGGUGGUUAUGGAUUUAUUCUUCUUCUUUAGUUUAAUUUCUGUAAUUGAGAUGAUUUUUACUUUAAUUAAUUCAGUAUUUAAUUCAUUGACAAUGAGCUAAAUUCUUUAUUAGGCUUAUAAAGGAUCUUUGAGUGGAACAAUGAUUAUG